CCAGCACUUGUUGUUGACUCCAGUGUUCGAAAUUUAGACUUUUUUUUGUGGUGUAAUGAUAAUUUGAGAGGCACUGUCAAAGGGAAGCAUGUGAAGAGCCCUUUAACUGAUUAUUAACUAAGAUUGUAAGCUGUGAAAAGCACAAAUUUGAAAACAAUGAAUAAAUAAUGGAGAAAUGUGCUUAAAUUAUGGAUUAUAAGUGUAUCAGUGAGUGAACACACCACCACCCACGCACCCACCACCAUGUAGUGGGAGCCCAGGGUUCGGUUGGUCAAGCAGUCUGCCCUUGUGGUCUGUGGGGAGAAGACUUGCGUGUCGUGCUGCUCUCAUCCUGCCGGUACCUUUGCUAUUAAGUCAUUGUGUGGUGACUGUGACCUGCCCUGACCUGCCUGUGACCUGCCCUGACCUGCCCUGACCUGCUAUUAACCUGUGACCUGCCUUGACUUGCUCUGACACACAUGGUGAACCGAGACCUUCCGAGACCUUCCAAGACCUUCCAAAAUCUGCCGUGACCCACAGAUGAAGAUGUAUAGGUGAUAAACGGAGGCCGAUUUAAGAAGUGCGAUGAUGCGACACACAGACAGACAGACAGACAGACAGACAGGUGUGGGAUGAGUGCUGGCAUACUGAAGGUCAAGAGGUCAAGAGUGACGUGUUGAGUCGUAUGGGUCACCAGACAGGUCACCCACCUAACCCCACUCAGCCUGUCAGUUCAGCAGCAACACUCAUGGAAGAUUUGCCGCAAGCUGUGCCUCUCUGUGCUUGUUAUCCGAACCUUGUGUCUAAUAUUGCCUUAAUGUUGUGUGUGUGUGUGUGUGUGUGUGUGUGUGAGAGAGAGAGAGUGUGUGUGAGAGAGAGAGAGAGAGAGAGAGAGAGAGAGAGAGAGAGAGAGAGAGAGAGAGAGAGAGAGAGAGAGAGAGAGAGAGAGAGAGAGAGAGAGAGAGAGAGAGAGAGAGAGAGAGAGAGAGA